UUGGAGGGCAAGUCUGGUGCCAGCAGCCGCGGUAAUUCCAGCUCCAAUAGCGUAUAUUAAAGUUGUUGCAGUUAAAAAGCUCGUAGUUGAAUUUCGGGAUCAGAGUGUCGGUCGUGCCUCGGUACGCACUGGUAUUAUUGGUUCCUACCUUCUGAAGAACCGCGAUGUCAUUAAUUUGGUGUCGUGGGGAAUCAGGACUGUUACUUUGAAAAAAUUAGAGUGUUUAAAGCAGGCUUACGCUUGAAUACAUUAGCAUGGAAUAAUGAAAUAGGACGUUUGAUUCUAUUUUGUUGGUUUCUAGGAUUGACGUAAUGAUUAAUAGUGAUAGUUGGGGGCAUUAGUACUCAAUUGUCAGAGGUGAAAUUCUUGGAUUUAUUGAAGACUAACUACUGCGAAAGCAUUUGCCAAGGAUGUUUCCAUUAAUCAAGAACGAAAGUUAGGGGAUCGAAGACGAUCAGAUACCGUCGUAGUCUUAACCAUAAACUAUGCCGACUAGGAAUCAGACGAUGUUAAUUUUUUAGUGACUCGUUUGGCACCUUACGGGAAACCAAAGUGUUUGGGUUC
rnacentral:rRNA from 1 species